rnacentral:lncRNA from 1 species
UUGAUUUUUUUUAAUUUUUGAAAAGAAAUACUUUUAAUGAAUAAAGGAAAUAUUUUUUUUUUGGAAUUUUAUUUCGAAUUUAUUAAAGAAAUGCUUCUAAAGAAAAAGAAAAUAUUUCUGAAUCUUGAAUUUUCUUUUUAAUUUUUGAAAGAAGAAUGAAAAUAUUUUUGAAUUUUGAGAGAGAUUAAAAGAAAAUAUUUUUGUAUUUUUAUUUAAAAUUAUGGUAUAAAAUAAAGAAUUUCUAAAGUAGGAGCUAAAGGAAAAUAAUUUUUGAAUUUGUUUUUGAAAAUUGUGGGCCAGAACCGAUGAGGUUUGCCUAUGUAUCUGACAUUCAGUGAGAAUCAGAACCGUGAAGUUCACCUAGUUUUGGUAUAAUUGGAAAAAUAUGAAAUUGACUCACUUUUAAUUUUUUUUCGACAUACAUUUUCCUUUAUUUUUAAAAAAAUAUUUUGGCACAGUUUCAAGACAUUUUUAAUACCAGGGUUUGUAGAACCGGGUGAAUCCUCUAUUCUACCUCACUCUUGGUAUUUUGUUAUUUUUCUUUCCUUUGCCGGUCAACAUACAAGCUGAAGCAAAUAAAUGUACAAACCGCAGGCAAGAUGCAUCAGGACAGUCUUUCAUUUUGAGUACACUUGUUCUAGACGGACUCUACCCCUGUGUUGAGUUCCCGAAUUCAAAUGUACGUAUGCAAACAAACGUUUCAAUUAGGGAUCCAGAAUGAGGUCAUGUUGUUCUAGGUUUAAACCUGGGGUUGUGUUCUAGACUUUGGUGACCCGAGUAGACAACUGGCGCCGAAGAGGAGGGGCAAAGUACCGGGAGCACUAAAGUCUACCCGACCUUGUUGCUGACCCAGCUUCGUACUAUUUGGUAUGAUUUCUACAAAAAAAAAAGUGAGUCACUCGAACAUGUGCACCAUUUUUAAAAGAUUCAGAGGGGCAGCAUAAGAAGACAGUUAUAUACAAUUCACAUAAUAUUAAAACGGUAACAAAUAGAAUUUAGCACAAACUGUUCACAGAAUACAGUAACAAUAAAUGAAGCCAAGUAUAAAUCAUAUUAUCAAGAUCGGAUUCUGAACCCUGAACUAGAGAUUUUGGUUUCGUUCCCCUGCAGAGUCGCUAGAGCAGUCACACCUCUUUUUUACACACCCGUAAGGGAGUAUAAGAGAGUUUUUUUCAAUUUAAGUGACAAUCGAAAUAAGAUGAUUUAUUUAAAAUUUAGAGUCGUCACUUGGGAUAAUAUAGUGUCCCAAGUUACCGGUUAAAAUCUCAAACCGAGGAAGUUUGACUCUAUUCACGGUCUGCGAACACAAAAAUCCGGAUAAGGAAUUCUAUUAAUCCGGGAGAAGGUGUUAGGAAUUUUUGAGUUCCAUGAUUAGCAUAUUCAUUUUGAUCCUACUUGGCUUAAUCAAGUUAUCUAAUUACUGAUUUUAGAACCUAUGUGCGCUUACCUUUUAUCGUUUUUAAAAUUAAGAAAAUUAUCUUGAAACGAGUCACGCCUACAUGUACCAAUUUAUUUGGUGCGUCAAAAAUCAUAUUACGCGAAUGUAUCCACAAUUAAUAACACUGUAUUAUUAUUAAGAAAAUUUGAAUGAUGUUGCGCGAACGCAUACUCCAGUUUUAUUUUUAGAAAUCGUAAUCAUGUCAUGCGAGCAUGUACACAACCAUAAUGAUUAAUUAAAAUUAUACCUACCAACUUGAGAUUAUUGUGAGACCAUGAAUUUAUGAAAUAAGUGUGGGAAAAAAAAAGGCCAGCAACAUAUUCACUACUUUGAGCCUUAGCGAAAUUAAAAUUGGCCACCGAUAAAUAUGUUGAAGGCCUUUAAUCCAAAUAAAGUGUUACACCUAAUAUGUCCCAACCAAUUUUCAUUAAAUUACUAAAAAUUGUACUUUAAAUUAAAGAACUAGUACUUGAAGCUAGACCAAGAUCAUAGGCGUGAAUAGAUGGAUAUCGAUAGAGCAAAAAUGAUCUCAAAAAUGAAGAUUAAAUGAAAUCAAAGCGUGAUGAAAAUAGACAGCCAUUAAUUCAUUGUAGAAACUUGUUAUAAAUUAAUUUCACAUGCUAUUUUCCCCAUAAAACAAAUUUACCACAAAGAAAAUAACUCAUAUAUACCGUAACAAGAAAAGUAACAAAUUCAUACAAAUUUAUCGAUGAUAUUAACAUUAUGUACUACCAAAAGGGACAAUAGACCAAUUUUAAAAUAUACUCAACAGGAGAACAAAUCAAUCUUAACACACUUAGAUGCAAAUUUGAUAAUUAAAUCAACACACAAUGACCCAGAACAAUAAUGAAAAAACAAAAUAGAAAGAGAAACGAACCUUUGUAUUGACGAGUGUGAAUUUAAAUUACAACAACUUAACAGUUCGGACAACUUCCAAUUGGACACUUCGAGUGCGAAAACCUCAGACUACAACCUCGACGAUGAUUCAAACCAGCUUCAAAUCUCAUCUUACAGCUUAAUUUUGUUGUGACUUUUCCUCUUGAAAUCGGAUUAAAAACUGAAAGUCACACGAAUUUCAAAAAAAGAAAAAAAACUACCUAGUCUUGAUCCUUCUUUUUCAUCACCAUAUGAAUGAGAAAGAAAAGAAACAUGUUACUGCAUAUCUUUAUAUAUGGUCAUGGCUUAACUUAGAUAUGACUUCAAAAUGUGAAAGGAAAAGAAAUUAAAAGAGAGCGGCCGGCCAAGAAAGCAAUUUGUUUUUUUGGUUAUAAACCAGAUGUGGUGUUGUGGUAUCUUUCUCUUUUAGAGAUGGCCGUUCUUAGCUGGUGUUGGAGAUCGGAUUGAAGGGGAAAAAAUGGGAUCUUUUUUGGAGUGGGUUGCCGCUU